rnacentral:rRNA from 1 species
UUGGAACGCGAGGAACCUUACCAGGUCUUGACAUCCUCUGACAAUCCUAGAGAUAGGACGUCCCCUUCGGGGGCAGAGUGACAGGUGGUGCAUGGUUGUCGUCAGCUCGUGUCGUGAGAUGUUGGGUUAAGUCCCGCAACGAGCGCAACCCUUGAUCUUAGUUGCCAGCAUUCAGUUGGGCACUCUAAGGUGACUGCCGGUGACAAACCGGAGGAAGGUGGGGAUGACGUCAAAUCAUCAUGCCCCUUAUGACCUGGGCUACACACGUGCUACAAUGGACAGAACAAAGGGCAGCGAAACCGCGAGGUUAAGCCAAUCCCACAAAUCUGUUCUCAGUUCGGAUCGCAGUCUGCAACUCGACUGCGUGAAGCUGGAAUUGCGAGUAAUCGCGGAUCACAUGCCGCGGUGAAUACAUUCCCGGGUCUUGUACACACGCAA